UAGUCAUAUGCUUGUCUCAAAAAUUAAUCCAUGCAUGUCUAAGUAUAACCAAUUAUCCCGCGAAACUGCAAAUGGCUCAUUAUAUAAUUUAUCGUUUAUUUGAUAGUACCUUACUACUUGAAUAACCGGGGUAAUUCUAAAGCUAAUACAUGCUAAAAAUCCCAACUUCGGAAGGGAUGUAUUUAUUAAAUUAAAAACCAAGGCCCUUCGGGGCUCACUGGUGAUUCAUGAUACCUCCUCAAAUCGCAUGGCCUUGUGCCGGCAAUGGUUCAUUCAAAUUUCUUCCCUAUCAACUUUCAAUGUUUGGGUAUUGGCCAAACAUGGUUGCAACGGUUUUUGGAGGGUUAGGGCUCGACCCCGGAAAAGGAGCCUGAAAAACGGCUACUACUUCCAAGGAAGGCAGCAGGCGCGCAAAUUACCCAAUCCCGACACGGGAAGGUAGUGACAAUAAAUACUGAUACAGGGUUCUUUUGGGUCUGGUAAUUGGAAU
rnacentral:rRNA from 1 species